rnacentral:rRNA from 1 species
GACGAAGGAUGCAAGCGUUAUCCGGAUUCAUUGGGUUUAAAGGGAGCGUAGGUGGCCUUAUAAGUCAGUGGUGAAAUCUCUCGGCUUAACCGAGAAAUUGCCAUUGAUACUGUAGGGCUUGAGUAUAGUUGCCGUUGGCGGAAUAUGACAUGUAGUGGUGAAAUACAUAGAGAUGUCAUAGAACACCGAUUGCGAAGGCAGCUGACGAAACUAUAACUGACACUGAGGCUCGAAAGUGUGGGGAUCAAACAGG